AUUGAACGCUGGCGGCAUGCCUUACACAUGCAAGUCGAACGGCAGCACGGGUGCUUGCACCUGGUGGCGAGUGGCGAACGGGUGAGUAAUACAUCGGAACAUGUCCUGUAGUGGGGGAUAGCCCGGCGAAAGCCGGAUUAAUACCGCAUACGAUCUACGGAUGAAAGCGGGGGACCUUCGGGCCUCGCGCUAUCGGGUUGGCCGAUGGCUGAUUAGCUAGUUGGUGGGGUAAAGGCCUACCAAGGCGACGAUCAGUAGCUGGUCUGAGAGGACGACCAGCCACACUGGGACUGAGACACGGCCCAGACUCCUACGGGAGGCAGCAGUGGGGAAUUUUGGACAAUGGGCGAAAGCCUGAUCCAGCAAUGCCGCGUGUGUGAAGAAGGCCUUCGGGUUGUAAAGCACUUUUGUCCGGAAAGAAAUCCUUGGCCCUAAUACGGUCGGGGGAUGACGGUACCGGAAGAAUAAGCACCGGCUAACUACGU
rnacentral:rRNA from 1 species